CGCUUUGUGUGGUGACAGUAUCAUAGCCAAUGAAGUUUACCUGAGGCAUGAUUAUUGCUAAUUGAACACUUUUCCCAAUACCCCGCCAUGAUGACUUGAAAUAAAUGAGUGUUACCUAUAUAUAAAAUAAGCUCCAGGAUAAGAGGUUACCAUAGGUAA
rnacentral:snRNA from 1 species